GGACAGGUGGUCUAGCUUCGUCGAUUCCUUCAGAACGACGAUUAGAUUGGUAUGAUUCCUGCUUGGGGUGCAGGCGAUCGGGAGUUCAAUUCUCCCCCUGUCCACCA
rnacentral:tRNA from 1 species